UUUUUUUGGCGGGGGUGCUAUACAUGCAAGUCGAGCGAAUGAUGAGGAGCUUGCUCCUCUGAUUUAGCGGCGGACGGGUGAGUAACACGUGGGUAAUCUGCCUGUAAGACGGGGAUAACUCCGGGAAACCGGGGCUAAUACCGGAUAAUAAGAGAAGAAGCAUUUCUUCUUUUUGAAAGUCGGUUUCGGCUGACACUUACAGAUGAGCCCGCGGCGCAUUAGCUAGUUGGUGAGGUAACGGCUCACCAAGGCGACGAUGCGUAGCCGACCUGAGAGGGUGAUCGGCCACACUGGGACUGAGACACGGCCCAGACUCCUACGGGAGGCAGCAGUAGGGAAUCUUCGGCAAUGGGCGAAAGCCUGACCGAGCAACGCCGCGUGAGCGAUGAAGGCCUUCGGGUCGUAAAGCUCUGUUGUUAGAGAAGAACAAGUACGAGAGUAACUGCUCGUACCUUGACGGUACCUAACCAGAAAGCCACGGCUAACUACGUGCCAGCAGCCGCGGUAAUACGUAGGUGGCAAGCGUUAUCCGGAAUUAUUGGGCGUAAAGCGCGCGCAGGCGGUCUCUUAAGUCUGAUGUGAAAGCCCACGGCUCAACCGUGGAGGGUCAUUGGAAACUGGGAGACUUGAGUGCAGGAGAGAAAAGUGGAAUUCCACGUGUAGCGGUGAAAUGCGUAGAGAUGUGGAGGAACACCAGUGGCGAAGGCGGCUUUUUGGCCUGUAACUGACGCUGAGGCGCGAAAGCGUGGGGAGCAAACAGGAUUAGAUACCCUGGUAGUCCACGCCGUAAACGAUGAGUGCUAGGUGUUGGGGGGUUCCACCCUCAGUGCUGAAGUUAACACAUUAAGCACUCCGCCUGGGGAGUACGACCGCAAGGUUGAAACUCAAAGGAAUUGACGGGGGCCCGCACAAGCAGUGGAGCAUGUGGUUUAAUUCGAAGCAACGCGAAGAACCUUACCAGGUCUUGACAUCCUCUGAUCACUCUAGAGAUAGAGCUUUCCCCUUCGGGGGACAGAGUGACAGGUGGUGCAUGGUUGUCGUCAGCUCGUGUCGUGAGAUGUUGGGUUAAGUCCCGCACGAGCGCACCCUGACUAGUGCCAGCAUCAGUGGCACUCUAGUGACUGCGUGACAAACGGAAGGAGUGGAUGACGUCAAUCAUCAUGCCUAUGACCUGGGCUACCACACGUGCCUACAAUGGAAUGG
rnacentral:rRNA from 1 species